rnacentral:rRNA from 1 species
CACGUAGGCGGACUUGCCAGUCAGGGGUGAAAUCCCGGGGCUCAACCUCGGAACUGCCCUUGAUACAGCAAGUCUCGAGUCCGGAAGAGGUGAGUGGAAUUCCUAGUGUAGAGGUGAAAUUCGUAGAUAUUAGGAAGAACACCAGUGGCGAAGGCGGCUCACUGGUCCGGCACUGACGCUGAGGUGCGAAAGCGUGGGGAGCAAACAG